rnacentral:lncRNA from 1 species
UUUUUUUUUUUCUAAAAAAAGCCAGAAUUCUCAAUUUUAUCAGAAAUUCUUAACAUUUAAGUUUUUACAACUCAUUAGGAUAUCAAUAUAUAUUUCUCCACCAACUAAACUCAUCCCCACCCUGAAUCAUUAUCCAAGGAGAUACAUGAACUGUGAGAAGGCAACCAGUGAUGAAGGAAAGAGGCCAGAAAGAGAAAACAGGGUGUAUGAGGACUGAGAAGGAAAUCUUGAAUAAAGGACCAGGGAAUUUUAAAGAUUAGCCAGGAUGUUCAGUCCGCCCCUGAGAAUCACAGGUUCGUUUUUAAGAAAUCACUAUUAUUGCCCAAAUCUGAAGAACAUCCAUGUGGCUGUCAGUAAUUCUGUCUUGGUAAGGAUUUGGAGCACUAGCUGUAAGGCUGCUCCCAGGAAUCAGUUACUCAGGUAAUUAGCAAGGUCCAGCUGGGACCCCAAAAGCACCCACUGCACAUUACUUAUAAAUGGAAACUCUUAUAUGAACGAAAUAAAAUGUUUCAUAUUUUCACUUGUGAAAAUAAUAAUGACACCUUCACUCAUGACCAAGUGUUGAGUGUGUAAGGGUUGUGAGCAGCAGACAAAUGUCAUCCUUUAUUAACAUCUCAAACACCCCUGAUAAGUCCAGGAGGAAGGAAUUAAUGUAAUCUUGAUUUUAGAGAUGAGGAAAAUAGACUUAGAGUUUACUAAGAGACUUGCCCUGUACCUAGGAAGCGGUGGGUGAGGUCUGGGAACAUCUAAUCACUAAUCUACAUUACUAGUGCUAAGUGUGGAGUACAGUAGAAACAUCCAACAUACUGGAGAUGGUUAGCUACUCCUCUCCCACACUUCCAAAUGUUCCAGAUAAAUCAAAACAUUGAUUAUAUUGUAUCUCUUGAUUCACUGGAACACAAAAGAGACUGUUUAAAAAUGCUAGUUAUUCCUUAUGAUUUUUUAUGAAGAAAAUGAUAUACCUGCUAUAUUUAUGACUAUGAGAAUUCACAGGGACAAGGGUCUAUACUAUUAGAUGGGAAAUUAGGUAAGUACAAAGUACUUGAGCUCAGCAUCCUACACUGAAAGAUAAUAUGCAACAAAGAGAUGUAUUCACUGGGGAGCUCAUCCUAUGAUGAUAAAUAUAAGCCAUACAAUUAAAAUGACCUGGCUGAUGUGGAUGAAAAGAUUAAAAUGAAACAUAACUCUGCUUAACUGAUGAGAUUAGACUGCUGAGUUACUAUUUUUCAUGUCCUGCUAUUAAAAAAUUUAAGGAAUACUUUUCAAAGCUUCACUGAUAACAUGGAAAACCCCAGUACAAUGCAAACAGAGAUUCAAAGAAUUUUAAACCUGAAAGGGUCUGUGUAAAUAACGUUGUAUAAUUCUCUCAUCUAGUAAGUUAGGAAAUUUAAAUCCAUAAGUUUGACAAUAUAAGCCUCAAAUCACGUUGCCUCAUUAGUGGUAGAGCUUGGAUAGCUUGGGACAGAUGUUAUUGACCACCUCAGAGAUAAAACCAACCUACAGUCAUUUGUUACUUUAAUAAGUGCACCCACUGAAUUUGAUUUCAUUUUCUAUGGAAAAAAAGACAUGAAAGAAAAAGUUAAUAAAUAUGACGAUGUGCUAAACCCAUUUGCUAUAUAUACAUAAUUUGACAGGUUUAAUAUAUUGAGCUCUUAGACAUAAGAAAAAUGAAACAUCUGCCUACAAAAAUUGGCAAAAGAAAUUUAGAAAAGAAAUAAUAAUCCGACAAAUGAAAAUCAAAGGGAUACAUCUUUUCACUCAGAUUGGCAAAGAAUAAAAAAAUGAUAAAACACAUUAUUGGUGAAGCACAGGUCAAAUGACACAAAGCAUACUGUUGAAAAUUCUCCUCAGAGAAUUCUCACGGUGUGUGUCAAAAUAUAUAAUGUGUAUGCACACCUUCAGAUUAACUAAUUGUAAUACUAGGGUUUCAUUUUUAAGAAAAUUUGAGAGUUGUUCAAAAGUGUAUGAAUAAGGAUUUUCAUUUUAAUGUGUCUAGUAAGAA